AAGAGUACAUUACUCUAUUUUGAAAGAGAGGAUGAUGAUACUCGGAACCCUCUGGACUCCAGUUUUACUUGCAGAGAAGGGGGAAGGAAGAAUACCCUACCCCCUGAAUAGAUGAAAAUACUUCCUUCAAACCCCCCAAGGUCAUUACCGUUAGUUACCUCAUUUAUAGCGGACGGCCUGACCUUGAUAAAACGAAAGCUGAGAGCUAACUCGAUUUCCAGUCAUCUUUGCCAACUUGAGGGGUGAUAGCGUCCUUCUGAAGUGCACGUAAUGAAUCUGUUGUUAAUACUUUUCUUGACGGCAGUGAUGCUUUUUGUCCUCGGAGAAAGCUACCCUAAGGAAGUCCUCAGCUCGGAAUCCUCUUCAAUGGCAGAUGUAACCUCUGUUCUCACAGAUGCAGAACCUCGACAGAUGGGCUUGCUGGGCUUUACCGCACUAGGUGUACUAAUGUUCCCCAUUUUGGUAUCACUCGGAAUGGCCAGCUUUGUGUCUCAUCUACCGACUGUAUUCAAAGAAUUAGCUUCUGAAUUUGGAAUACCAGCCACGCCGCCCAGAACUUUUUUGUUAUUCAGAGGGAAACGAAAUGUUGCUCACAGGAUGCUAGACUAUCGUUGGGAAAAUAUAUUAAAUAAUUUCGAAAGAAAUGUUUUGCAGAAUUCAGAUAAAAGCGAGUCGUUUUAUAAAAUUCUUCAUAAGCGCAAAUGACGAAUAUCUAUAUUUUCAAUUUUAAGAAAGUAUUUAAAUAUGUAAGACAGGCAUUGCUGGCAAUCUAAAUAACUGUCUUGUUUCAAAGAACUGUGUAUUAUGUAUUGUGGAUAUGUAUUAUGUAAUUUAUAUUAAUUAUUUAGUGCGCAUUAUGCAAACAUGGAAAAUUUGCAGUAGAGUACUAAGAAUUGAGUAGAGUACUAAGAAACUUUCUAACGUAAUCCCUGUACAGCGGGUUACGGUUCCUAUACAUCAAGGACACAAGAAAUCUAACUGAAGAAUCCUUCGAUUUACAGGAUGAUCUAAACGGCAGUAAACAUUUGAAAAUUUCGUAUCUCAACCAAUUCGCAGUGUAAUAUAUAUGGAAAAACAAAUAGCACAGAACCUUUAUAUUUUUAAAACAUUUUGUUACGUACAAAUAAAUAGUUGCAAAUAAAUCGAUCAGAUACGUUGCUCAUUGGAACGUGAACAUAGGGCCUUACGUUUGAACUUUCACUUUCACAGGUCAUCAUUAUGCUGACUGGUUACAACACAAAAUUGUUCCUAACCUGAACGAAAUCUAUGAAUUUUUAUUUUGUGGAAUUCACUCAGGAUGGAUGAUCACUCUAAAUUGCUUUGCUCUUUCACUUUAAAGGAAAAUUUAGUAAUAAUAAGCUAGCAUCUUGAAUAUGAAUGAUCAUCCAGAGCUCCAGACUUCAGAACCUGUAAUUCUAUCAUAAGACUGCUGAAAAUCAAGUAUACACAGAGCUCAAAAUAUAUCCCUGGCAAUGUUAAAAGACGCUAGGCAAGGGCAUAAUCAAAAUUAAAGACGCUGCUCGAUAAUGAUUCCUGCUUCAUUAUUUAUUACAAGUAUUUGGUAUCCUGUUGCAGUUACAAGGCCGUCUUAUAAGCAACAUAAAAUUAAAAAACAAACGUAAUAAGGCCUCUUAAAAAUGACAACUUUAGGCGUUUCUGCGCUAACUACACCGUCAUACAUAAACUACUCAAAUAUAAAUAUCUUAAAUGUUUACUGACUUUCACAUCAUUCUGUAUCAGGUGAAAUUAUAACUACAUAUAGAAAUUAAUAAUUUUAAACCAGGAAUUUGCGUACUAAGAGUUCGUUGAAAAUAUUUGGAAUAGAUCUAUGAAUAGGUUCGAAAAAAUUCCAUAUAGAAAGAGUGAAAUUUGAAGAACUGACUCAGAAAAAAAAAAGUUGACUUUUCGCAUCUGUAUUGUUUAGUUUUCAUUCUUUCACUUAGGUAGUUCAUGCAGCUAUUUUGUCCAAAGAUAUUGUAUAUUACUGUAAAUUGCUUUAUUAAGGUUUUUUUCACAUUUCAUGCUUAUGUGAAUCAUUCUCUUCGAGAAGCAACUAAAAUAAUAUAAAAAAUACCAUAAAAUGUAAAACGCCAUAUAAAUUUUGAGACUUAGCUUGAAAUCUGGUUAUUUAAAAGACUUCUGGCCGUUGAAUGUAUUGUUUAUUGUAUGAUACUGAGAUAAAUAAAAUAUUGUUGCAAUAUA
rnacentral:lncRNA from 1 species